rnacentral:rRNA from 1 species
GACGAACGCUGGCGGCGUGCUUAACACAUGCAAGUCGAACGGAAAGGCCCUGCUUUUGUGGGGUGCUCGAGUGGCGAACGGGUGAUUAACACGUGUGUAACCUGCCCUUGACUUUGGGAUAACUUCAUGAAACUGGGGCUAAUACCGGAUAGGAUCUCCUGCUGCAUGGUGGGGGUUGGAAAGUUUCGGCGGUUGGGGAUGGACUCGCGGCUUAUCAGCUUGUUGGUGGGGUAGUGGCUUACCAAGGCUUUGACGGGUAGCCGGCCUGAGAGGGUGACCGGCCACAUUGGGACUGAGAUACGGCCCAGACUCCUACGGGAGGCAGCAGUGGGGAAUAUUGCACAAUGGGCGGAAGCCUGAUGCAGCAUCGCCGCGUGCGGGAUGACGGCCUUCGGGUUGGAAACCGCUUUCGCCUGUGACGAAGCGUGAGUGACGGUAAUGGGUAAAGAAGCACCGGCUAACUACGUG